GAUGAAGAACGUAGCGAAAUGCGAUAAGUAAUGUGAAUUGCAGAAUUCAGUGAAUCAUCGAAUCUUUGAACGCACAUUGCGCCCGCCAGCAUUCUGGCGGGCAUGCCUGUUCGAGCGUCAUUUCAACCCUCAAGCACAGCUUGGUGUUGGGACUCGCGUUAAUUCGCGUUCCUCAAAUUGAUUGGCGGUCACGUCGAGCUUCCAUAGCGUAGUAGUAAAACCCUCGUUACUGGUAAUCGUCGCGGCCACGCCGUUAAACCCCAACUUCUGAAUGUUGACCUCGGAUCAGGUAGGAAUACCCGCUGAACUUAAGCAUAUCAAUAAGCGGAGGA
rnacentral:misc_RNA from 1 species